rnacentral:lncRNA from 10 species
GCUGCUGUUUCCGCCAUUCAUUUCAGUUUAUGCGCCUGUCACUGCCACGUCACCCCCUCCCAUCGCUCUUCUCAUCAUCCUUUUCCGCCCUCAUGGAUUGGUGGUUGGUAUCAGCUGCUCCACCUUUUCUACCAUUUACUGAACGAGUUGAGGAAAAAGGGAAGGAGUCUCGUCUUUACAUCCUUAUUUUCUUUUUUUAUUGGUUGGCACCUAUGCCACUCACGUGGUGGAGAGGCGGGGCAAUAGUUGGAGAUGAUUGGUUCUGAGAAUUGGCUGUGAAAGCGGCAUUGCUGACCAGUGAGAGAGACCUAAUGAGGAGCAGGCCGGGGCAACCAAUGAAAUCGGAGAAGAGCGCUUGGGGGCGUGUCCGCCUGCUUUCAGCCUUUGGCAAGUUGGUGGGAGCUAAAAUCAGUCAUCUUCCUGCGAAGGCAUGAGGAGGAAAAGAGAGGAAGUAACUGAGCGAUAAUAUGCUGUAUGAGCCUCCUGCUCUGCUGCCCAUUACCUGCGUCACCUCCACAAGCUACUGAACCUCAAGGAACCCAUCUCCUCAUCAGGAAAAAAAAUAAGCUUUAUGUAGGUAGGCACCUAAUAAUGUUAAAUUAUCUCCUGUCUCUUUAUCAUUUAAAACUUUGGAGGCUCACUCCUGUAAUCCAGCACUUUGGGAGGCCAAGGCAGAAGAAUCCCUUGAGCCAGGGGUUUGAGCCCAGCCUGGGCAAUGUAGCGAGACCUCAUCUCUACUAAAAAUCAAAAAAUUUAGCUGGGCAUGAUGGCACCCGCCUGUAGUAUUCCCAGCUACUUGGGAGGCUGAGGUGGGAGAACUGCUUGAGCCUGGGAGGUAGAGGCUGCAGUGAGCCAUGAUUGUGUCACUGCACUGUAACCUGGGUGACAGAGAAACUCAUCUCAGAAAAAGAAGAAAACCUUCAGGCUGAGUGCAGUGAUUCACACCUGUACUCCCAGCAUUUUGGGGGGCCAAGGUGGGAAGAUCACUUGAGCCUGGGAGUUCAAGACCAGCCUGGGCAACAUAGGGAG